rnacentral:rRNA from 1 species
CUACGGGAGGCAGCAGUAGGGAAUAUUGCACAAUGGGGGAAACCCUGAUGCAGCAACGCCACGUGUGGGAAGACGCAUUUCGGUGUGUAAACCACUGUCGUGAGGGAAUAAAGCGCAGUUUCGGCUGCGUUGAAUGUACCUCGAAAGGAAGCACCGGCAAACUUCGUGCCAGCAGCCGCGGUAAUACGAGGGGUGCAAGCGUUGUUCGGAAUCACUGGGCGUAAAGGGAGCGCAGGCGGAAGUGCAAGCAAUCUGUACAAUCCCGGGGCCUAACCCCGGUCCUGUAGAUUGGACUGUAUUUCUUGGAUAGUUCAGGGGCAAGCGGAAUUCCUGGUGUAGCGGUGGAAUGCGUAGAGAUCAGGAAGAACACCGAUGGCGAAGGCAGCUUGCUGGGGACUUAUCGACGCUCAUGCUCGAAAGUGCGGGUAGCAAACAGGAUUAGAUACCCGGGUAGUC